AAUAAAAAAAUAAACUUGGAACAUCUACAUAUAAUAUUGGAAUAUGAUAAAAGAAAAUGGGAACACGAAGGUUGGAACUUUAGAACCGAAAAUGAGAAAGUCUAAUAUGAUCUAGAGACUUAUCUAUAAUAUUGGAAUUUGAUUAAAAAAAAUGGGAAGAUGAAAGUUAGAACAUUAGAAUCUAAAAAUGAGAAAGUUUAACCAAAUUAGAGACUUAUCUAUAAUGUUAAAAUUUGACCCCAAAAAAAAUGGAACACAUGAAACUCAAAAUUUGCAGUUAACUAGUUAGAACUUUAUAGCCCAAACAUGAGAAAGUUUAAGUAAAAAUAGAGAUUUAUCUAUAAUGUUGGAAUCUAGCAAAGAAAAAUAGGAACAUCAAAUCUAAAAUUAGUAGUUAAUUAGUUGGAAUUUUAGAACCAAAAAAUGAGAAAGUUUAACAAAAAUUAGAGAUUUAUCUAUAAUGUUGGAAUUUAAAAAAAAAAAGAACAUAAACCUGACAUUGAUGGUUUAAUUAAUUGAAACUUUAGAAUCUAAUAUGAGAAAUUUCAACUAAAAUUAGAGACUAAUGUUUAAUGUUGGAAUCUAACAAAAAAUUUAAGAACAUGAAACCUAAUACUGUGGUUAAAUUAAUUAGAACUUUAGAACCCAACAUGAGAAAACUUAGUUAAGACAAGAGAUUAGAGACUUACCCAUUAAUAUUUAGGCUGUGACUAUGUUGGAGCAUAUCUAAAAUAGAGCACGAAUCUCAACUAUACACACAGAAUGAUAAAUAAUAAUAAAAAACUCAUUAUAACUUUAAUGGUAUGUUAAGAAUAAGUGCUAACAAUUCUAACAUAGCCAAACCCUAAUAUUUAAUACUUAAGUUUGAAGUUAACCCCUUCCCCCAAAAAACAUUUACUCCGGCCCCGUAACUUUUGGCGAGUGGUCCACGAAUCUUUGCCUCAUUAAGUGCUCUUUUCUCUUUUUCUGAGUUGAUAAUUGGUUAUAUUUUUCUAAAAAAGGACGAUCAUUAAUGGUUCUCUCUCAUUAGAUGUACUAGUGGUCACAUCACCAAGACUUUUUUUUUUUUUUUUGCUUUUUUGUUUCUGUUUUUGUUUUUGUUUU
rnacentral:lncRNA from 1 species